CGCAGGAACCCAUACGAGCCCCUCGGUCCGCUAGAUCCGUGCAAUUCCUUAUAUAGACUCGGCCGCAGCCAGCGGCAGGGCCGUAGCCGCCCAUUAUUCUCCAAACAGGUACCGGGCGGGCGGGGGCCGCGCUCCGGCCUCGGCCCUGUCGCCGCAGGAACUGUCCAGACAAUACCCACCAGCAGACGGUCGCCGCGGAGCGGGCGGGCGGGCGGGCGCAGCAUCGCCCCCCAGAUAAGCAGAAAUGCAACCAACUUCCACCGUCUCUCCCCACCGCAAAGGGCGACUGUGCAACCCAACACAUGUUCGGGGCUCGCUCGCUCGCUCUCCGGUUAUUAUUGUUAUUUUUCUAAACUCUCACGCCAGGCAGAUGGGUGUGUGUGUGUGUGUGUGUGUGUGCGCGCGCCCCUCCCCGCGCAGCAUCAGCACUCAUUAGUAAACCCGGCGGCCGCCGCCGCCGCCGGGCGGGCAGCGGCGACCCGCGUCCGUCGGUCCGGCCGCCCCCCUCCCCCACACUCCUUCCACCCGAGACCCCGAGCGCCGUCCAAGCUCCCUCCGCCGGUUUCACGCCCCGCGCGUCCGGCCCAGGUGUUGUCAGAGCACCAGGAUGGAAGCAGUGGAGUUCUCAUAAGAAUGUGGAGAAUCACAGCCUCUGAUUGAUCUCCAAGGUUCGAUUUGAGUUUUUAAUUCACCAAAAGUGAUUGCUGAAAAAUUAACUAUUUUUUCCCAUGAUUUUAAAAAAUUAUUUUUUUCCCAAAACAAACUUGGAUGGAAUGUUACACAUGAAAUAAUUGACUUAAGAAGAAUCUAAAGCCACUCCAAGUCUUUUGUUUCCAACUUUAUGAUCAAGCACCCCUAAGGCUGUAUAACUCAGUGGGGAUUAAUAGGGAUUGAGUCAGCCAUAAAUAAUCAAUAAAAAGAAAGCAACUUAGUACAAUGGUCUUAAAUCCAAGUUCACAGUUUGCCUGACAAUGGACAGUCCAGUGAGAUUCAUAGUGGCCAAGAUAUAAAUCUCCACUAAAUAAGCUUCCUAAAAGAAACACUAACUCAACCAUAUUCUAAAAAUUGUGAUGUUACAUAAAAAGGACUUUGAGUUUGCUGAUCUUUGUAAUAGUGGAAAAGCAUUAAUAAAUGGAAAAUCAUCCUAAAGUUUUAGGUUUUUCUUUUCAAACCAUGGAAUAAAUUUGGCUUCUGUCACUGACCAGCAAAGUGCCCAGGACUUGAAGGACCAAUACCCCAGAGAAAAAGGACAUUGAGGAAAGUUCAGCAUUUGACAUCAUUUUUCUCUUAUCUUUUCAAAGCUCAAGCUGUGCAGGUCAAAGCCUAGGAAACUAGGCAGAAAACACUGAAACACAGUGUGGAAUUUUCAACAGUCUCAUGAUCCUUGAGAAACAAAAGUUGGAUUUCAGAAUCUGUCCAGAGGGGAGGGGGUGCACAGUAAACUUCACCUGGAAUCCCUGGGGGUUAGUGUACUAUUAAUAUUAAGCCUGUGGGUAAACCAAGCCUUAUAAAGAGCACCAGAGCACCUCACAUCAGCUCAAUCUUGAUUGGAUUGAACUCAUCUGAUCCCAUUCUGGCUCACAGAAUAGAGGAAAGCCUCUUUGAAGAAAAACAAUAGCAUCCAAGGCCA
rnacentral:lncRNA from 1 species